rnacentral:rRNA from 1 species
GUUGAACGCUGGCGGCGUGCCUAACACAUGCAAGUCGAGCGAACAGACGAGACACUUUCCUCUUUCACGGUAGCGGCGGGCGGGGGAGUAACAUGUGGGUAACCCAGCUAGAAGGCUGGGAUUACCUCCUGAAACCGGUACCAAUUCCGGCAAAUCUAUUGAACCGCAAGGUUCAAGAGUUAAGGGCGGCUUUGCUGCGACUGAUAGAUGGUGCCGCGCCGCAUUAGCUAGUUGGUAAGGUAACAGCUUACCAAGGCGACGAUGCGUAGCCGACCUGAGAGGGUGACCGGCCACACUGGAACUGAGACACGGUCCAGACUCCUACGGGAGGCAGCAGUAGGGAAUCUUGCGCAAUGGGCGAAAGCCUGACGGAGCCACGCCGCGUGAGUGAUGAAGGUCUUCGGGUCGUAAAACUCUGUCAUUAGGGAAGAACAAAUGUAUAAUAAAAUAUGCGCGUCUUGACGGUACCUGCACAGAAAGCCACGGCUAACUACGUG